GGCCCAGGACGCAAACAAGACAAAUUAGAUCCCUUCACUGCUGUUUGACUCUUGAAAUAAUGACAAAGAAACUAAGAACAGUUGUGGGGAUCUCACUCGACUACUCCUGCCAUGAGACUUUCCCCUUGAUUUGUAGCCUUCUAGCACUGUAAAGAUGCACUGAUUCCUUCAAACCUCGUCCUCCAGCACCCCCACCACCACCUGUCGCCCCACUAAUUCUCAGGGAAUUCAGAAUUCUUCCUAUAUUCUUCCACUAAGAAUUUUGCAUUAAUGAGCAGAGUUGGUUUUUUUGUAUUGCAAGCAAAGGAUCAUUGCUGAGACACCAUUUUCUAAGGGGAGGUGAUAAGCCAGCCAAGGGGAGAAUUGUAUGGAAUCCCCAAAGAACAAGAUGCAGACAACACUGUUUAGUGUGCCACAAUAAUUUAAUAGACUCACUGAGAAAUAAUAGCAUGACAAAAGGCCAGGUUAAUUUCCUCUGCUGCCCUUUCUGUGGAAAUGAUGAAGGUUCUUGGGCUCCUCUCUGAUCCACUGGUCUUAGAUACAUUGGCCUUCUCCUUUAUUUCCAGUACCCUCAACAGUUUCCAGUAAAGAGAAACAGCAAGGGAGGGUCUGUAGAAAGACAGACUGUCUUGAGGUUGGCUGAGGGGUAAAAGAAAUUUCCCAGAAAUUGCUCCUUUUCCUUCACAAACUGCCUAGAAUUCAGAUUUUGUCUCCUUCAAAGUUGCAUCUGGGAAAAUGUGUUUAUAUGCUUAUUCCACACAUUGCCAUCAUUGUAAUGAUUUUAGGGCUCCCUGUCUUGGAAUUGCCUUAAAAGUCCAUGUGAUACUUCUUAAAAAACUCUUUAAAAUCCCUUGAGAAUGGUUUCAUUUCUGGAGUUAGCCCCAUCUAAGCUAAUUUGACAUUCUGUCUGGUGAAUAGGGUUGGUAAUCAUAUUGGAAAUAAUAUUUUUGGUCAUAAGUGAAGUGUUACUAUAAACCAGUGAGAUUGCUUAUUGCUUUUUGGUAUGUGUGUGUCUUAUAUGGUCUGUAAAUGGUCUCUAAAGCCACUUCCAAAAUGCUUUCAGCAAUGGCAUCAGGGCUCAAAUAAUUGCACAGUUUCCAGAGAUGGCUGUUUUGAGGAUCAACAGUAAUUGAAUAAUAUAAUAAUAUUUAUUGGUAGUUUAUAAUACUUUUCAACAUAUUAAGCACUUUCCACAUGCUUUUAAAUAAGACCUGACAUUUACUAUGUCCCAGACACCGUGCUAAUUUUUUUACACAGAUUAUCUCAUGUAAUUCCUCAAAAUUAGGAAGGUAUAAUUAUUACCCACCACAUUUUAACAGAAAAGAUCUAACACAUCGGCGUGACUUUUCUAAGGUCACACGUAAAGUGGGUGAGCAGGACAGCCAGCCACGAAACCCCAAUUUUCUGACCCCUGAGUCUUGUUCCUCCUCCUUCACAUAGAUUUUGACUUGUAUGUCAAAACACAAAAACAAAACCUACCAAUGUUUGAGAUUUUUUUCUAUGGGAGGAUAAAACCUAGGUCUGUCUCUGUAGAAGCAAUAUUAGUCAAAUAACAGUCAGUCCACUGUCAGUGACUUCAGAGGUAUCUUACUUGUCAUUCAACUCUGAGGUCUCGGUUUCACGACCAGUUCUUUUCUAUUUUCCUUUUGGCUAUUUUGAAACAUGUCUUCUUUUACCAAUCUCAGCCCUCCACUUUCUCAUGCUGUGAAGUAUUCCCUAAAUUUCUGAAUUAUUUUCCCAAACCAUUUUCAGUCUCUAAGCUAACACUGUAGGCAGCUUCUUAGCUCUUUAGAAAAACAAUCUCACCUGCAUCUGCUCCAUUCUUCCUCUCUCCCUUCCUUUCUCUCUUCUUUAUUUUACUUAUUCAUUUAUCCAUUCACUUAUAAGCCCUCUGUUUUCUAUUAACUUAAUGCUUUUUGUCAUUCAACAGAACACAUUUUAGCUUUUUAAGUUCCACAAACCUCUAGAGUAAUGGUCCUGAAGCUUACUGGAGGUAUUUUAUUCAUCCUUGGGUCCUUGGAGCCUAAGCAUAGCCUUUCACAUACUAGGGACUAAAUGAGUAAAAGCAAAGCCAGGAAGAGGCAGAAAUCAAGUUCUCUAUGUGGACAGUUCUGUGUUCAAUAUGCAAACAUCAGAAACAUAUCCAGAAAAGAAUGUCAUAAACACCCAUCUGUUUUGUGUGGCAUAUAGAAUACAGUCAAUUAGAAAUACUUCCACAGGACCAACAGUGCUGAAAAGGAACCACAAAAAAACAAAACAAAACAAAACAAAAAUACAGAAGGAAGACGGCACACUAGAAAGCACUGGAUAUUUAAGCAUCAGAAAUAUCUCAAGGAAGUGCAUUCAGGACAUGGUGAGCUAGGAAACUUUUGCCUAGCAAUGGUAGCUAAGAGAUGAUAAUGGCAUGAAGAGACUUCACCCAAAGAGAAGAUUAAUAUUCCCAGUAGUUGGGGCCUGCCCUUUCAGGCCUUCGUGGUAAGUGGUCCCAGAAGCAAGGUGAGUGCUAACGCUGAAGCACUGCGUUACCCUGGUUCCUCCGAAACACCCCAUCUGCCUGACUUCUCACACACACCUGGGCCUUUCCUUGUCAAUGCUCUGCCCCUGGGCACUCUGGUGACAACGGGCACUUCAGAAGAGUCAGGAAGAGAAGUGUGGGAAUUGAAGAAUCCUAUACCCCCUGGCAGGAAUCCUUUCCUUAGCUUAUAUAACUAUAGAGAGUUUUUAGGGUUUCCCAAAGAGUUUCUGUGCAUCCACAGAUCUUAUCCCUCCUCUUGUCCUACCCUCCACUCAUAUACAUUCAGGAAUAGAUGGUAUAGAUUUGUUUUCUGUUCUCAAAAGAAAAAAGAAAAAGAAAGAGAGAGAGAGAGGGAGGGAAGGAGAGAGAAAAAAAAGAAGAGAGAUGUCCCUAGGGAAUAACUUUUGAGGACCAGCACAUCCAGCAGCUUGUGUAUGUGUGUACAUGCCAGUACAUUUUAGGAGAGGACUUGACAUUCUCCCUCUGAGUCAAUCCGUACUUUGUAAUUUUCUACCUAUGUAUCUUAAUCAAAUUAUUCAACUUGUCUAGCCCAGUUUUGCAUCUAUGAAGCAGGAAUAGCAACGGUGUCUACCUCUUUGGAUAUCAUAAGGUUUAAAAAGAUUACUCAUCUAGAGUGUUUGGUACAUUUCAAAUGUCAGUAAAUGUUAACUUUUAUUAAUAUUAGUAUUAAUAAUAUAUCCAACUGAUUUUUAAAGCAUUUUUUGAGAGAGGCUUUUUGAUAUAACAAAAGAAACGACGCUGUGAGUGCACUCCCUAUUUAUUUAGAGUUAAAUAAUUCAGUGUAACAUCCAACUAGUAAAAUUUGGGAAAUGAGCCUCAAAGGAAUUUUCAACAUUUUGCCCCACCACAGUCACUGUAUUUCUGAGUAUGCCUAGAAUAUUUUUUAAGGCUGAAAUGGGUGGGAAGCACUUUGUGGAGAAAGGGAGUGACUGAAGAAUGCAGUUUGUGUGGUUCUUUUAUUUUUUUUUUUUCUUUUAUUAGUUUAAGGAGACUUGGUACUGUGUCCAAGAAGACAAAAAGAAUGCAAUUACUAAACAUUUCCCAAAUUCCCUCCCUCCCACAUCCACAAAGGUAGAUGUGAUACUUGAUUUUCUUCUCAGAGACGAGCAAGCUGCUCUACUUAAAAUCUUGUAUGUAUUUUGAGAGAUAACAGAUGAUGACCCUGACGCUGAUGCCCAGGAUGACGAAGUCAGCACAGAUAAUAAUAUCACCUUGUAUCUUCUUUCACUAAUCGUGGAGCACUUUGCACAUAUGAUCGUGCUUAUCCUGGGCUGCACUGUUUGUUAGAUGAGGGUGUGGGUGUCACUAUAUAUACUUUCCAGAAAGACAGGUAUUUUCCAACAAGCUAUCAUCAACUCAAUGACAACACUGUACACAGGCAGCCCUCUCACCUGCUUUCUUCAGUAUUCCAUUAUUCUCCCAAAUUUGGCCAAUCAAGCCCAUUCACCUGGGAGUAUUUGUUAAUAAUUUAGAUCCUGAGCCUUAUCCUAGACAUUCAGUUCUGGAAAGUCUGGGAAUCAGUCAUUUUGUGGUUGUUCUCAGGAAGCCCUUGGGGAUUCCUUUGAUCAGAGACAGGUUUGGGAAGUAUUGCUCUUUUUAAACUCAGGGCAGCGGGGAAGGGAUGCUGGCAGGAGUGGACUUUGGUGACACUGAGAUCUUUUAUUCAUGUGGUAGCUUUUCUUACUCUGAGACAGAGUUUUGCUCUGUAGCCCAGGCUAGAGUGCAGUGGCAUGAUCAUGGUUCACUGCAGCAUCAACUUCCUGGGCAUAAAUGAUCCUCCUGAAUAGCUGGGAUUACAGGUGUGCACCACCAUGUCUAGCUAAUUUUUAAAAUUUUUUGUAGAGAUGGAGGUCUCACUGUGUUUCAGGCUUGCCUCAAACUCCUGGCCUCAAGCCAUCUUCCUCCCUUGCCUCCCAAAGUGCUGGAAUUACAGGUGUGAGCCACUGCACCCAGCCCUAAGGGUAGUUUUUCUGAUCAUCUGAAGGAUAAUACAACAUUUUUGUCAUAGGCUCAAUAAUCCAUAAAAUGCUGCCCUAUGUGAGAGAUAUUAUUAUUUUAAAAUACAGUUAAUGCUGGACUGUGGAACCAUAAUAUUGAAAUAUUGUUAGGGCGGGUCUCACCAGUGCCCUUUCUAGGCAAGGAGAGGCAAACUAACAACUGGGACCUGAGAAAUAACAUGUUUGUCACUAGAUUCAAUGUAAAAUGGUAAACCUAUCUACCUUUGCUAACUACUGGUCAACAACUAAAAGUAACUUAAGUUCAAUUCAAUAUACAUAAUUAAAGUGCAUUAAAUGUGUGCCUAUUGCCCACAUGGCACUUUAUUAUGUAUUCCUUAAAAUACAAACAUUUUUCCAUAUUAUUAAAAUUUUCUCAAAAAUAAAUUAUUUAAAAUCAUUUUAUUAUGGGAAUUUUUUAACCCCUACCUAAAUAGAAUUCACACAUUAUUUAGAAUUUGGAUUGUUUUUAACCCUUUAUGCACAUUCACAGUGCUGUAAUGAACAUGUGUAUAUAUACUUUCACUUUUUUUUUUUUUUUUUGAGAUGAAGUUUCUCUCUUGUUGCCCAGGCUAGAGUGCAAUGGUGCCAUCUCGGCUCACUGUAACCUCUGCCUCCUGGGUUCAAGCAAUUCUCCUGCCUCAGCCUCCAGAGUAGCUGGGAUUACAAGCACGUGCCACCACGCCUGGCUAAUUUUUGUAUUUUUAGUAGAGAUGGGGUUUCACCAUGUUGGCCAGGCUGGUCUUGAACUCCUGACCUCAGGUGAUCCACCCGCCUCAGCCUCCCAAACUGCUGGGAUUACAGGCGUGAGCCACCACACCUGGCUCAUACUUUCACUUUAAAAUUGUUCAUCCUCAGUCUCUGCUCUAAUCAACCCCCAAGUCCCUUCAAUCCUAUCUCUGAAGAGUUGUGAACCCAUUCCCUCAUCUCCACAGCCCCACUUCCACCCCAGUUCAGAGCUGCAUUAUCUUGAUCCUGUACAAGGCCUGUGACAGCCCCCUGAAGAGUAUGGGGCUGCCCCUAGUCUUUCUUCUUUUCAAUCUCUUUCUACACUGCUUCCAAUUACUGUCAUUCUGAAAUGUGUAUUUGUUCCUACGAUUGGAAAUGCUCAAUGAUUUUCCACUGUCCAUAAAAUAAAGUCCACUGUUAUUUAUGUAGGCCUCAAAUAUUAUUUCCUUAAUCUACCUCUGGAGCAUCCUGUUCAGUUGCUCCUAUACACCUUUAACUCAAUUUGUCCUUUACUGUUCCCAGUCCCCUGAUAUGGACAGGCAUUCCAUGCUUCCAUACCUUAUUCUUGCUGGUCUUUUGUUGUGAGGUAAUCCUCAAUCCUCCCCUAACCACAUGGAAAGCAUUAUGUUCUUCAAAUUUAUCAGGGAGCAUUUCCUAGGUAGAGCCACUGGCUCUCUCUCUCUCUAUAUAUGAAUACAUAUUCAUAUAUAUUAUAUAUUAAAUAUAUAAUAUAAUUAUUUAAUAUAUAUUUUAUAUAUUUAUUUUAUAAUAAACAUAUAUAUUUAUAUGAGAAAUAUAUUUAUUAUAUAAUAAGCAUAUAUAUGAGAAAUACAUUAUAUAAUAAAUAU
rnacentral:lncRNA from 1 species